AAGCUCAAAUGUAGUUAAUGACAGAGUAAAAUUAAAUAGGUAUCUUUACUACAGGACUUUUCUGAGCAUUUAAUAUGCUAAUGUGCAUGAUUAUGGCUUGGAGCCUCAAAUCACUUUGUGAUUCAAGAUGGCAACUGGAAGAAAGAGGAGAUAACAAAAAGAGACCCAAAGUGACACCAAGUCUGAGCACACCAUUGGAGAACCUAGGAAGCUCUACCCUAAAGAACUUUCAGACAUGUGCACAAGAAGACCUCUCCCUCCAAUCCCAAAGGGGUCAGAAACUGCAAUUAGCAAGCUGGAGGAGGAGGAGGAGGAGGAAGAGGCACAGAAGCAGGAGGUGGGGAGCCUGAGACAGAGAUCAUCCUGUCUGCCCUUCCCACUUCAGGCUACCACCUCUUGCAGACCUACGUUAAAUGAAAUGAGAAGCCUCAACUUUGACUACUAUUAAGGUAUUACAUAGAAGUAGACAUUUUAGGGGCCAAAAUAAAACUUUCUGGGUGACUAGAAGAGCACAAAGGAUCUCUCAUUUUCUGAAAGUGGAGUGAUCGAAAAAAGCCACUGUGCCAUUCCUGGAAUUCAUUCAAGAACAGAAAAAAAUUUGUCCUACUGAGUGGGCUAAAAGAAAUAGGGGAAAGAUUAAAGCUGUCAUGUGAUUUCAUUCCAGGAGACCUGCUUGUUCACUAUAAUGAGGUUAUUUUCCCACAUCAAGAAAAAACCUCCAAUAAGUUCUAUUUCCUAGUCUUACUGUAGAUAUUCCACUCCACGAACAAUGAGGGAAUGGUUGCACUUAAUUGUUUGAUGUCCAUGUAGUCCAGUGGAAGAAAAUUCUGUCCAGGUUCUCCAGUCCCUACCUGCUGAAGCCCAGUCCCCAACUAACUCAUUCAGGCAGGCAAAAAAUACUGUAAAUUCAUUUUGCUGCCCUGAGUUCAGUACCAGCUGAUGUUGGGUUGGGUUCACUCUUCACCCCCUGCCCAUCAUGAUUUUUUUCUCAUGCCCACUAUUAACUGACCAGUUUGUGUAAUGGUAACCUGCUUUCCCACAGAGACCUGGAUUCUUUGGCCCGCAUGCCCUACCAUGAGCCAGGGUCACCUUCCUGACAGAUUCAUCUCUUAGACUCUCAAAUGCACAUCACCUGACAUGAAGUUCUGUCCAGCUCUGUGCUUCCUCCACUCUGCCCCAACGACCAGAUUCGACCUCUCUGUAGCAACACCAGCCCACAUCAAAACUGGUCAUGCCACACCCACAGGGAGGAAUCCCAGCCCUUCCCAGUUAUGCCUUCAGCCUCUACCUGUCCCAUCACCCUUUGCUGCUGAGAUCCCAGUAUGCCUUGCGGUUGAACCCAUAGAAAGUUGGAAUGAAAAAAAGAACUAGGAGGCACUCAUCUGCAACUAUUUCUUGUGAUGAAAAAUGGUGCAACCAUUAAAGGAGAAAGGAGGAAAGGAAAAAUUGGGGUCUUAAAAAGUACCCUUCAGUUAUCAUAUAAGACUAGAAAAGCAGCCACAAAGUGUUCUUAAUGUUACUCAGUGGUUAUCAUUUCAAAUCAGACUCAGACCAGGAAGAUGCAAGGAUAAUCAUGAAAUAUGAGGCACACCGCUGCUGAGCACCAGUUAGUUCCAAAUGUGUUCAUUUAUUCAUUUGCAGUAACAGCCUCGGAAAUCAGUGGAGUGGUCUCUAGGAAGUAAAGGAAUAAAAUAAUUUUCCAACUCUCAUAGUCAGAGGGCUAAUUCAAAUUUCAAAAGGAACACUAACUUGCUUAAAGUACCAUAAAAAUAGAGAGGGGGCGGGGAGAGUGGAAAUUCCAUCCUGCUUUAAUCACUGUCUCCUGCAAGUUUCCUUAAUGAUUUCCAGCUGCCUCCAUUUAGGCUGUUGCUUUGACAGAACUUUCAUACAAACUUGGAACAUUUAACGUAUCCAAAUUUUUUUUUUUUACUUUGCCCUCAACUGCAUUCUAACCAAAAGCAGAUUUCUCUUGGAUUAUAUAAGAAUAUGAUGAGCUGGAAAGGGGCGGAGUGAGGCAAGGAGUCUGCCUUUGCUUUUUGCAGUCUCCACAAACCAUUUCACAAGAGGCACAAAGGAAAAUGUGAAAACCCAAGGAGAAGCCCACACCCUUGUAGAAAGCCAAAAUAUGGUUUCACUUCAACAUACUACUGCAUUCUGAAGAGAAACUGACUAUUCAGAAUUAGGCUACCACAAAAUAAAUACCUCCAAAUUUUAAUAUAGGUAAAAUUUUAAGAGGGGGAGAGAGAAAGAGAGUGUAGUAAGUUGGUAUGGAAAUAUUUACAGCCAAACUUGUGCUGACCAAAUAGCCUGUGACCCUAAGUCAUCCAUUUUUCUGCAUGGGGAAAGGAGCAGAGAACAAUGGAAACAUGGAUAUACAAUAUCAUAAAAGAUUAGAUAUUAAUACUUGAAUAAGGAAGUUUAUUAAAAAUCAUGAGCUUCAGCCUUGAAGAUCCUUGAAGGUCAUAAUUUCCUUUCCAAUAGGGUUGUAUGCUCUUUAAAAGAAAAGAGUAACCAUCUCUUAAUAAUUUUUGUCUUCUCCCACAACCCCUAGCAAUAGGAUCUCAUAUACGGAAGGUCUUCAAUGAAGGCAUGUUAAAGCGAAUAAAGAAAAGCUUUCAGAGACUGAUGUUAAUAAAACAGGGGGAUAUGUGUAAAAAGAAAAUGAAGACUGUUUGCAAGGAGAUUAAUUAGUAGGCUAUUUUAUCCUCAUGAUUCCUUGAAUCUGUAAUUUACUCAGCUAUCAUUAAGUUUUCCACAUGAAGAUAGGUCCUAUAUUUUUACUUGUGAGACAAAAAGAGACUUUGGUAGGUCUUCAAGUUAUUCUCCUGAAAACUAUCCCAGACUACUGAAGAGCUACUCUUUGAAAAAGGGUUCUAUAAGUUAACCUAUUCCUUCUUGUCCAACAGGUCAGUAAGGAAAUACUCUAUGUAUAUACCUCAAAUCGUAUAUAUUGCACACUGAAUUUUUUCGGGGGGUAGGGUGGGUAGAGGGAAGUUCUUAAAAAUAUUUAAAAAUGAAUAAUAAUUUUCUAUUUAAAAUCCAAAAGAGGUACAGAGGAAAUAUAGGAAAUAGUAGCUAAGUUAGUCUUUGAGUCACUUCUCAUCUCUACCUUCAUUCAUUUUGACAAAUAUUUUCGAGUACCUAGGGCAGAGCAGAUGUUGAAAAUCCCAUAGAUUUUCCAUAUAAAUCUUAUUCUCCAUCACUUAGGGACAUUCCGAGGCUCCAGAAUUUCUGCUAGAAAAGCUUUAGGCCGGGCG
rnacentral:lncRNA from 1 species